AUGCUCUCUUUGGCAGCACAUUUACUAAAAUUGGAACGAUACAGUGAAGAUUAGCAUGGCAGCCGCACAAGGAUGACAUGCAGAUUAUAAAGUGUUCUAUAUUUUA